CAAAAACCACCAACAUCAAGAAAACGGUCGGUGAUUAUUCGGUGUCUGGCCGAGCUACAUCCAGACAAACUACUACGACUGUUCAAAACCCAAAUCUGAAAGUCACAACGGUGGAGACGAGGCAGACCGUCCACGUGUCGGUGAAGAAUAAAAAAUGAACCACAGGAAAGGAUCGUGCACAAAUCUUAAAGUGAGACCGGGCGGCUCUGAUGGAUCCCACGACCUGGUGGAGGAUUUUAAGAAGAUUCUGGAUGAACAAGUCUGCUGCUCGAUCCCUUUCAUCAAAGUCUGCUGCAAAAAACCCCUAAAAAAUGUGUGAAAAGCCCAAAUUAUUGUUGUAGCGUAUUAGGAAACUAUGUUGUGUUACUGUUUGUGGAGGUGGUUCCUUACUGAUAACAUGAAACUUACUGAAGCUUAUCUGAGGCUCGGCAGGAAAGCAAACAUGUUCCCCAAGAUGUCAAACGAACUGAAGAGUCUGUAGUUUCAGUUUUGGGAAUCGACUCCCACCCAGAGCUUCCUCUACCUGUCUCUCUGCUUCCUUGAAGGGGCGGAGCCUCAGAAACAACAGAGUUGAAGUCCCGCCCCUUCUGAUUUGCCACAAGUCCUAAUGACCUAAUGUCAUCAAAAAUUCCUGCAGUGGCAGAGACAUUAUUUUUUGAUGCUGUUUGAGUUGUGCCACGACUUCCACAUAUGGUGUUCAAUUGAAAGAAUUUAAAGUUAACACGCGCAAAGAUACAAAUUAAACCAAAAUACCAUUUAGUUUUGUGUUAAACCGCUCAGUGAACUGAAUCAUCAACUCAGUAUGCUUCUACUUAUAAAUCGCCAACACAAACUCAAAGAGAAAAACAUUUAUAAAAAGUGAAAAUCACAAUAAAUCUGGUUACAAACUGCUUUCUCGAGUUUAAAAUUAUGUUUUAAAUUGACAAUCAUCAUGUGUGGUGUGUUCAUGGCAUGAUUCAAACACAAAAAUGUCCGUUCACUGCCAAACAGAUUGUUCCUGAAUUACCGUCCCGUUCUUUCACAGAUGUUGGAGAACCAUGUUACUGAAAACCUUGUUCAUCCUUUAAGUGUUCUUCUCUUGUAAAACCCUGAAAUAUUGUUCUAAUAAAACACAAAUCUCACUUCUAAAUGUUUCCUGAGAUGUUAAAUGUUGUGGGGUUUUUUUCUUUUUUUCUUGUUUUGACCCUCAAGGCCAC
rnacentral:lncRNA from 1 species